ACAAGUCAGAGGAGGCAGAGGAUCGUGAGGAGGGGCAGGUAGCGGCGUGAUCCACGUGUCGGGUCAGGCCUCCAGGCAAGCUGGCAAUGGCAGAGGCCAUGCGCGCUUGCGCGGUUGCCCUUCAAGGCGAGGGGGACUCGCUCGUUUGAAAAAAAAAAAAAAGAUGAAGGAGAGAAGCUUGAGUGGAGCCAAGGGGAGAAAGAGAAAAGGUGGGAGAGAACUGGCCGUGAAAGAGGGGGUUCUAGAGGAGAGCGCUCCGGUUCCUCUACCAAGAUCGCCGGCAAAUCUCUUCCCCCUGUUGUCCGUUCAUACGCUCGCUCAUCACCGAAAAAACGUCGCAUAAGCCGGGCUCAAGUCGCUGAGAAAGGGCGAGUCCAGCUCAAGCCUCCGAGAUAGUCGAUUACGUCUCGCUUAAAAAGCCAGAUGUCGACGCUUCCUAAAAUCUCUCUGUUGCUUUCGUUCUCGGUUUGGUGCUAGCUGUAAUCUGAGCUCGUGAAAUGGAAUUUGGCCAAGCAAGUUUGGCUGGUUCAAGCUCGAUCAACGAAGCAGAGCUCAAGAAGAAGAAUGGGAGAAUAAGGGUACGAUUCUUGUGCAUAUCCUCCUCUGUUUUGGGGGUGAAAUUUGAGGAAAUAUUAGCCCUGAAAACUUGUCUGUGCGCUUGCGUUUGGCUAGACGCGGGCUAAUGUGCACGGCAUUGAUGUGCAGCAUCGCAGUUUACUGCCUUGUGAGCUGGUUCUGUCUUCUUUAAAGAUGGAGCGUGGCAAAUCAGGAUGUAUUCUCUAAAAGAGGCUGUGCUGUUCGCGUGCCUGUGAAUUUCUGUGAACAGCUUUAGUUUAUAUUUAGCUUUGGAAUGUAUUGGUACAGGGGACACAAGUUGGCUGCGGGGUCAUUAAAGAAGAUGGAAUUAGCCACAAGUCAUUCCUAGCUGAUCAUAGAAAAAACGCUGGAGCAUGCCUACUUGCCUUGCAGGUUAAAAUAUGCCCUGUAGUUCCUAUAUUUCUGGUUAUUAAAUGACUUUGCAUUCUCAUCUCGAGAAAGGGAUCGAGAAAAUCAUGGUGGUGAGUGUGUUUUCGAAUCAAAAUGAGAGCCUUGAUUCA